GCAGGCUAUGUGGGGUGGCCAGUCCUCUUCUGGCUGUGCCGGGUGGAGAUUAUAAACCUAGAGAGGAACCAGGCUAUGUGGGGUGGCCAGUCCUCUUCUGGCUGUGCCGGGUGGAGAUUAUAAACCUAGAGAGGAACCAGGCUAUGUGGGGUGGCCAGUCCUCUUCUGGCUGUGCCGGGUGGAGAUUAUAAACCUAGAGAGGAACCAGGCUAUGUGGGGUGGCCAGUCCUCUUCUGGCUGUGCCGGGUGGAGAUUAUAAACCUAGAGAGGAACCAGGCUAUGUGGGGUGGCCAGUCCUCUUCUGGCUGUGCCGGGUGGAGAUUAUAAACCUAGAGAGGAACCAGGCUAUGUGGGGUGGCCAGUCCUCUUCUGGCUGUGCCGGGUGGAGAUUAUAAACCUAGAGAGGAACCAGGCUAUGAGGGGUGGCCAGUCCUCUUCUGGCUGUGCCGGGUGGAGAUUAUAAACCUAGAGAGGAACCAGGCUAUGAGGGGUGGCCAGUCCUCUUCUGGCUGUGCCGGGUGGAG